rnacentral:rRNA from 1 species
UACGUAGGGUGCAAGCGUUAAUCGGAAUUACUGGGCGUAAAGCGUGCGCAGGCGGCUAUGCAAGACAGAUGUGAAAUCCCCGGGCUCAACCUGGGAACUGCAUUUGUGACUGCAUGGCUAGAGUACGGUAGAGGGGGAUGGAAUUCCGCGUAGUAGCAGUGAAAUGCGUAGAUAUGCGGAGGAACACCGAUGGCGAAGGCAAUCCCCUGGACCUGUACUGACGCUCAUG